UAGGGAAUCUUCCGCAAUGGACGAAAGUCUGACGGAGCAACGCCGCGUGAGUGAAGAAGGAUUUCGGUUCGUAAAACUCUGUUGUUAGGGAAGAAAAAAUGUAUAGUAACUAUAUACAAAAGAGACGGUACCUAACCAGAAAGCCACGGCUAACUACGUGCCAGCAGCCGCGGUAAUACGUAGGUGGCAAGCGUUGUCCGGAAUUAUUGGGCGUAAAGCGCGCGCAGGUGGUUUAGAAAGUCUGAUGUGAAAGCCCACGGCUCAACCGUGGAGGGUCAUUGGAAACUAAUAAACUUGAGUGCAGGAGAGAAAAGUGGAAUUCCUAGUGUAGCGAUGAAAUGCGUAGAGAUUAGGAGGAACACCGGUGGCGAAAGCGGAUAUUUGGCCUGCAACUGACACUGAGGCGCGAAAGCGUGGGGAGCAAACAGG
rnacentral:rRNA from 1 species